CUUCGAUCAUGCAUUGUGGCGAAUUGAUUCAACCAUCGCAAUAUUGAGGCUAAGAGUUUGAACAAAUUCUUGUUAAGGAAAAUAUCAAUCUUGACAGCAGCCUCAAUCAUCUCUAGCAAAUUCCUUGCCUGAAACCUCAUUGCAACAUUACUCGGUCCAAAUGGGUAUAUAAAAUAAAACGGAAAGCUCAUGGCACCAUUGAUCGAUUUAAGGCUCGACUUGUAGCCAAAGGUUUUCAACAAAAGAGUGGGGGUAGAUUAUCACGAGACUUUUAGUCCUGUGAUUAAACCCACAACCGUCUUAUUACUAUUAGGAUUAGCUAUUCAAUUUGAUUGGCCUAUCCAUCAACUUGAUGUAUCUAAUGCUUUUCUUCAUGGAACUCUUGCAGAGAAAGUAUUUAUGGAACAACCACAAGGAUUUGUGGAUCCUACCUAUCCGAAUUGUGUGUACUCUCUGAACAAGGCAAUCUAUGGUCUUAAGCAAGCACCACGGUUGUGAUUUUCUCGACUAUUGAAUGUUCUUGCAGAUCUUAGUUUUCUUGGCUCUAAAGUGGAAUCAUCAUUAUAAAUUUAUCAUCCCUCUGAUGUACACAUUUAUAUCCUUAUUUAUGUGGAUGAUAUUCUUGUUACAGGCACUCAUGCUUAUCUGAUUCAAGAAGUUAUUCUAGCAUUACAAAAGAUCUUCCCAGUUAAAGAUCUUGGUUCUCUUACAUUUUCCUUGGCAUUCGUGCAUCUCGAGACUCCUCUGGACUUUAUCUGUGUCAAGACAAAUAUAUUAUUGAUGUUCUUACCAAAGUUGAAAUGAUUGGUGCCAAGCCCUACUCGACUCCAUGUGUUGUCGGCACUCAAUUGUCCAAAUCAGUUUGUGAAGCUUUUUCUGAUCCGACCCUGUACAGACAUGUAGUCGGUGCCCUACAAUAUUGUACUAUUACAUGGCCUGAAAUUGCCUUCUAUAUGAAUCAGCUGUGUCAACAUCUCGCCUCACCAUCCACAGCUCACUGGAUUGCGGCUAAGAGAGUUCUCCGCCACUUAAAAGGGACGGUUGACCAUGGUCUUUUCUACCAGAAAGGGAACAUUCAUCUCUCUGCCUAUUGUGAUGCGAAUUAGGCAGGUAAUCCUGAUGAUAGAAAAUCAACAAUUGGAUUUGGUAUCUUUUUGGGCUCAUGCUUAAUCUCUUGGGGUGCCAAAAAGCAACUUGUGGUUUCUCAUUCAAGCACCAAGGCAGAAUAUAGGGCAAUAGCCGUUACUACUACGGAAUUAUAUUGGUUAAGAAUGUUACUAUAUGAGUUACAAGUUUUCCUUGCUUCUCCUCCAAUAUUGUGGUGUGAUAAUGCUAGUGCCUUAGUGUUGGCCUCGAAUCCCAAAAUUCAUGCGUGUACAAAGCACAUUGAGAAUGAUUAUCACUUUGUACAUGACAAAGUUGUUAAUGGGGAUAGUUUAAUUAAAUUUAUUCCUACUAAACACCAAAUGACAGAUGUUUUCACCAAAGGACAUAGUGCACCACCAUUUCUACACCUUCGGUCCAAGCUACUGGUUAUCUCGCUUCCCAUCAGCUUGCGAGCAGGUGUUAAGGAUCAUUUUUAAUCAAUGUGAGAUUUUAUCUCUUAACAUGCCCUUGCAAGAUGGUGGCUCGUUUGAGCAGACCAAUUUUGAAAUUCGUGUACUUAUUUUUUUGAAUCUUAAUCGGAUUGAAUUGUUCGUUGAAAUUUAAUGGGUUUUGAUACCAUGUUAAAACUUGAAAUUUCAUCUUAAAAGGUCAACUUUAUUAAGAGGAGUAGUUCAAAAACUUAUAAGUUGGUCCAAGAAAGAGAAGGAUGCAAUUGAGAAUAUUGAGAAAGAUAAUAUUUGAAGAAGUUACAUUUUCUGCUUGAUUAUUUUACGUUUCAACACAUAUGUAUAUAUACAUGUUUAACAGUAAAUGAGGUCCCUAAUUAUGAGAUUGACAGUCAACAGUGAACGUGAUUCUAGGUUGAUCUUGUUUUGGAAUUCCUUACAAUCAGGCAAAGGAGUUUGUUGGAGAUGAGUGAGGCUUCUGGAGGUGAUUGAGGCUGCUGAUUGCCAGGAGUCUGCUGGAGAAGAAUGAGGCUAUACAAGUGGGAACAUAUCAUGAUUCUUGGCUGCUCUUAUUUUGGAAUUUCUUACAAUCAGGCAAGGAGUUUGCUGGAGAUGAUUAAAGCUUCUGGAGGUGAUUGAGGCUGCUGUCAUGAUUAAUAUUUUCCUUAACAAUUCUAACUCGUCCAAGAUGGCGAAGCGUUCAGCUAAAUUGGUUACGAUUGGACUUGCUUUGAAAAGCAAGUGUCAAAUGUAUUUUUCAAAAAUAUUAAUUUUAGGAACUUAUUUGUCUUCUAUGGGUUCUUGUCUUUUCUCUUACAAUAGAAAGCAUU
rnacentral:lncRNA from 1 species